GAUGAACGCUAGCUACAGGCUUAACACAUGCAAGUCGAGGGGCAGCAUGAACUUAGCUUGCUAAGUUUGAUGGCGACCGGCGCACGGGUGAGUAACACGUAUCCAACCUGCCGAUGACUCGGGGAUAGCCUUUCGAAAGAAAGAUUAAUACCCGAUGGCAUAGUUCUUCCGCAUGGUGGAACUAUUAAAGAAUUUCGUCGAUCGAUGGGGAUGCGUUCCAUUAGGUGUGGUCGGGUACGGGACCGACCAACGACCUUCGAUGGAUAGGGGUUCUGAGAGGAAGGUCCCCCACAUUGGAACUGAGACACGGUCCAA
rnacentral:rRNA from 1 species